rnacentral:rRNA from 1 species
AUUGAACGCUGGCGGCAGGCCUAACACAUGCAAGUCGAGCGGAGCGGCGGACGGGUGAGUGAUGCCUAGGAAUCUGCCCGGUAGUGGGGGAUAACGUCCGGAAGCGGACCAUAAUACCGCAUACUAUCAGAUGAGCCUCGGUCGGAUUAGCUAGUUGGUGGGGUAACGGCCUACCAAGGCGACGAUCCGUAACUGGUCUGAGAGGAUGAUCAGUCACACUGGAACUGAGACACGGUCCAGACUCCUACGGGAGGCAGCAGUGGGGAAUAUUGGACAAUGGACGAAAGCCUGAUCCAGCCAUGCCGCGUGUGUGAAGAAGGUUUUCGGAUUGUAAAGCACUUUAGUUUGGGAGGCGUUACCAACAGAAUAAGCACCGGCUAACUUCGUGCCAGCAGCCGCGGUAAUUC